UCCUUAGUCAUUGGAAGAGCUAGUCAGCCUAUUGAGGUAGAAUUUCUAAGUGGGUAUCAGAUACUGCAAAACACCCACAGAAAACCUGGACCAUUUGUACUUCCUUUUAGCUCUACCAGCCAGAUGAGCUUUAUUAGCAAGGAGUCAUAAGGAUCAACAGAAAAGAACAGUGUCUGAAUACCAGUUUAUGCACGACAAAGGGAAGACUGUGCAGUCCUUGAAAAGAUUGAUGUGGUUAUACAAUAUCAUGGGUUCAAGUCCAGGACUUGAGCAAUUGCUCUUUUUGAUGUUACCUAGUUUGAUAUUGAACUCCUGAAGCUAGUCAACUCUGACUGAGGACCUGACACUUCUGAACACCUCAACCUCACAAAGUUGCUUCCAAGACUGGACAUACUUAACCUGGGAUUGCUGUUCAAUGAUCUAUAUUCAGGAAAGGAAACAAAAAAAGGAAAAGUCAGUCCAGGGCUCCAAAACCAACCCUCAGCUUGCAUAAUUGAAUGACAUCUGGCUGCUCACGUGAGAAGAGUUGCAGUGCUGCCGGAAUAGGGAGAAGGAUGGUUUCUCCUCUAAAUUCCUCGUAGGAGCAUUAACUUUCCAGGUCAAAAGAAGGAGAGAAACAAGGUUUAUAGGCACUCCCUUUUAAAAUUUAAGCCUUUACAUGAAUUGAUGCAAAGUGAAAUGAGCAGAACCAGAAGAACAUUAUACACAAUAACACAAAAUUGUAUGCUGCUAUAUACUGUGAAGACCAUUUUUCUCAGCAAUACAAUGAUCCAAGACAAUUCUGAAGAACUUACAAUGAAAGAUUCUAUUUAAAGAGAAAGAACUGGUAGAGCUUGAAUAUAGAUCAAAACAUAUUUUUU